rnacentral:lncRNA from 1 species
CCAAGUUCAGGUUCACUCGUGGCAGCUUCCGUCUUGCCACCCUGUGGAGGCUAUGUGUGUUCCCGUUGGCUCCUCGCUUCCUCGACCUUUUGUUUACGUUGCUGCUGGCCGGAACGAGGUUGCUGUUUGGAACGUGGAAAACGGGAACUGCCAACAGGUACUUCGCUAAUCUCGUCCUUGUUCUUUUGUUCACGCUUUGGAGUUUUGCAGAUUUUAAAGUCAGGCGUGCAGUCCAACGGGACAAGCUUCGUUGCAAAUCUCCAACCGUGGGGCCGAAGGACAGGCCCAAAGCAGCAACACCAGGAAGCAUCCAAGCUCUCGGACUACAAAGUCGAGGAGCUGAGCGAUCCUCCUCCGAGGAUUCCAGGCGUUCGAGCUUUGCUACCGACAACGGCAGGAGCCUCGGUUAUAACUGGAGGGACCGACUGUAGAAUUCGUUUGUGGGAUCACUUGAGGUUCGUGGUUUCUCUUCAAUUUGCUUUGCUCUACAAACUAUGACAACUGUGUGGAUUGGAUUUGCAGGCCGGAGGCUAGCUACUGCAUCUGCGGUCCUACAGUGAAGAACGCUCCUCCUUUCCGGUAUUCCUCCAAAACCGUUUGUGGACUACACAUCACUCAGGUACUGUAGGAAAAGGUUUGAGGAUUUGUCUCGAUUGAUGGAGGUAAUGGCAGGAAUCGAUGCACGAAAAUGUGCAAAGCGAGGUCGCCUUGGCUGCGGUUGAUAUGGCUGGGUGUCACCGAGACUCCAUUACCAGCUUGGCUGCGGCUAGUCAGCUGCUAAUAUCGAGUAGUAGAGAUGGUACGAUCAAAGUAUGGAAGUAAAGCUUAUUAGUUUUCAAUUCCACCGUACAAACUGUUCCACUGCCAUAGCGUGAAUGGAAAUCUAAAAUCUAACACACAACUUGGACCUUAUUCCAGUUCCAACUUAGCUAAAGGCAACAUAAAUACGAACUACUUAGCUAAAGGCAACAUAAAUCUGACCUGAAAUAUAAUUUGUUCUUUUAACCUUGCUUCUUUGCUCACACUUAAGAUUCACAUUCCAGUUUUCGAGAUUCAUGGCCGUGCUGUGAAGCUGGGAGUAAAUGUAUAGGCCCGAACGUCUGGAAAGCGUUUUUUUGCCAAGUAUGAGAGCUCCUCAUCCGAGUGGCUAGAACACUCCCACUUCUUGUCCACCAGAUGAAACGCUAACAGAGGAUACAUGCGGCUGGAGACCACAAUCACAUCACCUGCUAAAUGAGCCAUCCAGUUUUCAUUGGGACAGUCGACAUCACCAAGUGGCCAUUUGUCGCCAAUGGUUUCUCCAAGUAUUUCUCGGAUGCAACCAUGGUAGAGUGCCAGCCACUUAUCAGGCUCCUCGCCUUUCUCCAACACGCUCAAAGCAACUCUCCGGAAACCACCCUUACUUCCCUCCCUGUGAACCACUAAAAUCCUCCGGCCUUUGUACAUAAAACCCCGGAUAGGCCAGCUGAAGCAGCCAUCCUCUAGCUCCAGAAUCCUCCCAUCCCAGUCGCCUAAUGGAUUCGUACGCACCAACGGACGACUCCAUGCCAUGGCGUCGAGGUCAUAGUGGUUGUAGCCAAAAUUCCAUACAUUGCUCGGGGAUUCCCCGGCCACCCAGCUUUCCGAACCGGAAUUGUACUGUAAAAUGUAGGCAGUCUCCUCAGUGUCUCCCUCCUGGACGUUGAACACCGCAAUCCGGUAGAUCCCAGUCUCAGGAUCCACAUCCAUCGUCUCAACUUCCUCCACCUCCUCGACACACUGGAACACCUUCCAAGCGUUUGUGAGUGGAUUGCCCACAGCCAAAGAGCGUGAGCGGGGAGUGUUCUCUUUCGGCCACCCAGCAAGCGUGCCACAGACGAGCCCACUCACCGUGAAAUGGCUCACAAACAUUGGCGAGGGGACGCCAGGCGGGGCGAGGGGGAGGGCAGUGGGCUCGGGUGGCAGGCCAGAAAAUGGACGCCAUAGAAGUGCAGAUUGGCGGCCAGAGGAGCGAGUCAUCCGAACCACCCAUGCAGUGCCAGGAUGCUGCUGCUCGCGGUGGCAAUCUAAAAACGAGCGGGAGGUAAGAAUGCAGUACCAGGAGCGGCAAACCAGACGCAUCCGGGCCACAUUGUGGAGAUCCAGUCGCAGGAGGAUGCUUACCAGCAGUUCAUCCUCCCCCAGACGGUCGAAGGCGGAGCCCAUCGCCAUACUAAACCUGUGCCCUAACCGGGAUAGGUUCAUUCUAUUCCUUUUUCUUUUAAUGUAGUGAAAAUCAUUAAAUGUUGCUUUACUAGAUCUUAAUAGCUUUUACAUGAUAACAUGAUAUGUAUACCAUGUAAAAGUUAUUAAGAUCUAGCAGUUUCCAAAAGCUGGCAGCCAACGGGAGCGACUUGUCCGGACCACCUAUGCAGUGCCAGGAUGCUGCUGCCUGCUGUGGCAAUCCAGAAACGAGCGAGAGGUAAGGAUUGCAGUGCCAGGAGCGGCAGACCACUCGCAUCCCGGCGACGCUGUGGAAAUCCAGUCGCAGGAGGAUCCCCACGAGCAAUGCCCGGAUCGAUAAAAGAAAUAUCCCUUUUAUUUUGGUUAAUUAAGCUGAAAUUAUAAUAUUAAUUAAAAAUAAAUUAUUUUCAGUUAUUUAUAUUCCUUGGCCAGGGAGGACGUCCGAUCAAUCCACGCUCUCUCGCCUCUCAGAUCUUGGAGCUCGUGAUUGUGAUCCCAGGGGAUUUCUCGCUCUCGGGUUGAAAUCUUUCGUAAAUUUGCUUCAGCUCCCGGGCUCAAUCGGGGGCUGUGCAUAUCUUGCAGCUCGAAUCGGUCGCAUUCUGAAGAGGAAGCAAAGGAGAGGUGUUCUAACGCUCUGGGGCUUGAGGUUCCAAGUCCAGGUUUACUCGUCAGGGAGGCUGCUUGGCUCCUCACCUUUUGUUUACGUUGCUGCUGGCCGGAACGAGGAACGUGGAAAAUGGGAGGUACGUUCUUUGGCAAAUCAGGCGUGCAGCCCAACGGGACAAGCUUCGUUGAAAAUCUCCAACCGUGGGGCCGAAGGACAAGCUCAAAGCAGCCACACCAACUACAAAGUUGAGGAGCUGAGCGAUCCUCCUUGGAGGAUUCCAGGCGUUCGAGCUUUGCUACCGUCGACGGUAGGAUCCACUGGAGGGACACAGACUGUCACUAGAAGUUCGAGUGGUUUCUCUUCAAUUUGGUUUUGGCUCUUUCUCUUGACAAUUGUGUGGAUUGGGAUUGCAGGCCGGAGAGCAGCUACUGCAUCUGCGGUCCUACAGUGAAGAACGCUCCACCUUUCCAGUACUCGUCCAAAACGGUUUGUGGACUACGCAUCACUCAGGCACUGUACAUAAGAAAAGGUUUGAGGAUUUGUCUCGAUCGACGGGGGUAAUGGCAGCCUCCAUUACCAGCUUGGCUGCGGCUAGUCAGCUGUUAAUAUCGAG